UACGAAGGGGGCUAGCGUUGUUCGGAAUUACUGGGCGUAAAGCGCGUGUAGGCGGUUGGGCAAGUCGGAUGUGAAAGCCCAGGGCUCAACCCUGGAAGUGCAUUCGAUACUGCCUAGCUAGAGUCCCGGAGAGGAUGGUGGAACUCUCGGUGUAGAGGUGAAAUUCGUAGAUAUCGAGAAGAACACCGGUGGCGAAGGCGGCCAUCUGGACGGUGACUGACGCUGAGACGCGAAAGCGUGGGGAGCAAACAGG
rnacentral:rRNA from 1 species